UCAGGAAUAUUGCGCAAUGGAGGAAACUCUGACGCAGCGACGCCGCGUGGGUGAUGAAGGCCUUCGGGUCGUAAAGCCCUGUCGGAGGGAAAGAAAAGCUCGCUGGCUAAUAUCCAGCGAGCCCUUGACGGUACCCUCAAAGGAAGCACCGGCUAACUCCGUGCCAGCAGCCGCGGUAAGACGGAGGGUGCAAGCGUUGUUCGGAUUGACUGGGCGUAAAGGGCGUGUAGGCGGUCGGCCAAGUCUGAUGUGAAAGCCCGAGGCUCAGCCUCGGAAGUGCGUCGGAAACUAGUCGGCUGGAGCGCGAUAGAGGAGGGUGGAAUUCCUGGUGUAGCGGUGAAAUGCGUAGAUAUCAGGAGGAACACCGGCGGCGAAGGCGGCCCUCUGGAUCGUUGCUGACGCUGAGACGCGAAAGCGUGGGGAGCAAACAGGAUUAGAUACCCCCGUAGUCC
rnacentral:rRNA from 1 species